AUAAAAAUAAGCUAAAGAAGCUAUUGGGUUCAUACCUCAUUUAUGUAAGUUUAAUCUUUCUUUUUAUA
rnacentral:tRNA from 1 species